GUUAGAUUGGCUCGACUCGAGUUCAUCUGUGAAUCUCAUGAAAACUCUUUUUUAGUAUUCACACUUACUCUGAUCAGAGAUUUUUUGAACUCAGUCUUAUGAAUCGCAUAGGACUUCUCCUUUUCUACCAAGAUCGAUAGAUUCCAUCUAGGUGCAUCCUACUCCAAAUAGUGAACUUAAACCUACAAUAGGCAAUAUACACAGCAA
rnacentral:lncRNA from 1 species